GAAUAGGGUGAAACAGGUGAGAUAGAAGGUGAGGUAUAGGGUGAAACAGGUGAGAUAGAAGGUGGGGAAUAGGGUGAAACAGGUGAGAUAGAAGGUGAGGUAUAGGGUGAAACAGGUGAGAUAGAAGGUGAGGUAUAGGGUGAAACAGGUGAGAUAGAAGGUGAGGUAUAGGGUGAGACAGGUGGGAUAGGGGCUGAGGUAUGGGGUGAGAUAGAAGGUGAGGUAUGGUAUGAGACAGGUGGGAUAGGGGGUGAGGUAUGUGGUGAGACAGGUGGGAUAGGGGUGAGGUCUGGGGUGAGAUAGAAGGUGAGGUAUGGGGUGAGACAGGUGGGAUAGAGGGUGAG
ensembl:lncRNA